UACAGAGGGUGCAAGCGUUGUUCGGAAUUAUUGGGCGUAAAGCGCGUGUAGGCGGCUUUGCAAGUCGGGUGUGAAAGCCCUCAGCUCAACUGAGGAAGUGCGCCCGAAACUGCAUGGCUUGAGUACCGGAGAGGAUGGUGGAAUUCCCCAAGUAGAGGUGAAAUUCGUAGAUAUGGGGAGGAACACCGGUGGCGAAGGCGACCAUCUGGACGGAUACUGACGCUGAGACGCGAAAGCGUGGGUAGUAAACAGG
rnacentral:rRNA from 1 species